UACGUAGGGAGCAAGCGUUGUCCGGAUUUACUGGGCGUAAAGCGCGCGUAGGCGGCAAGAUCAGUCCGGUCUGAAAGCCCCCGGCUCAACCGGGGAGGGCGGCUGGAAACUGUCGUUCUUGAGGGCGAGAGAGGAGGGUGGAAUUCCUGGUGUAGCGGUGAAAUGCGUAGAUAUCUGGAGGAACACCGGUGGCGAAGGCGGCGUCCUGGACCAAUACUGACACUGAGUGAGCGAAAGCCAGGGGAGCAAACGGG
rnacentral:rRNA from 1 species